GACGAACGCUGGCGGCGUGCUUAACACAUGCAAGUCGAACGGUGAAGGGGCCUGCUUUUGUGGGCCCUGGAUGAGUGGCGAACGGGUGAGUAACACGUGAGUAACCUGCCCCCUUCUUCUGGAUAACCGCAUGAAAGUGUGGCUAAUACGGGAUAUUCUGGGUCUGUCGCAUGAUGGGUCUGGGAAAGAUUGCGCCUUUGGGUGUUUUUGGUGGUGGAUGGGCUCGCGGCCUAUCAGCUUGUUGGUGGGGUGAUGGCCUACCAAGGCGGUGACGGGUAGCCGGCCUGAGAGGGUGGACGGUCACACUGGGACUGAGACACGGCCCAGACUCCUACGGGAGGCAGCAGUGGGGAAUAUUGCACAAUGGGCGCAAGCCUGAUGCAGCGACGCCGCGUGAGGGAUGGAGGCCUUCGGGUUGUAAACCUCUUUCGCCAGUGAAGCAGGCCUGCUCCUUGUGGGUGGGUUGACGGUAGCUGGAUAAGAAGCGCCGGCUAACUACGUG
rnacentral:rRNA from 1 species